rnacentral:lncRNA from 1 species
CUCAUUUCUUCCACCUGUAGAGUGGGGAUAAUAAUACCCACAGUGUAGUCCUCACAGGGAGGAAAGGCACAAGAACCAUGUAAUUGAGAGCAAUAAUGAUUGGGCAAAGUCACUUAGCUGGUAGGAGUUACAAUACUCUGCAGUUUUCCCAUUGGAAAAAUAUAGCUAAGAGCCCCUGCUGUCUGCCUUACAGGGAGAUUAUGAGGCUAAAUGAGAGAGCAUUUAUAAAAUGCUUUCAGCCGCACGGAAGAAAGAUUAUUCCCAAAGAGCUGCUUCCUCCUGUAAGAAAUACUUCGUAAAUCUACUCCUUCAACAAGACAACUCAAGUUGAUCAUCAUACAA